GUGCCCGUAGCUCAGCAGGAUAGAGCAACUGCCUUCUAAGCAGUAGGUUGGGGGUUCGAGUCCCUCCGGGCACGCCA
rnacentral:tRNA from 4 species